GGCCCCUUCUCCUGAGCCGCUGCGUUUGCAAGCCGCUGCAGAAACAAUCAACCAAGCCACGGCCUUUUGCCGAGCGGACGCCGGAGUCCAAUCAGGUCGUGGCUGUAGUUGCAAGUCGGGAUGACCAAGCCGCUCAUAGUUGCCGCCUUCUCUGGCCUUCUCCUUCCUGCCUCCGGCCCCUGCGCCACCAGUCGACACCCCAGCAAUCAAAUUUGAUAACCUUCACCCAAGUCUGCAAUCGAUUGCAUGGCGGAAGGGGCUCUCCAUUCUUGCGGACACAAUGGAUCGAUCCGUUUUUGACGGAGGGGACUUCAAUCUACUCAAAAACUGCUCGAAAAGGCCUGCUCACAUGUACGUGCGGCCAGGUCUAUCGCCACCGUCCAUAGCCGAUUGUGGACCCCCUGCCCCGGCCGGUUGUAUUGUUUAAUUGUUCCCGUUUCCGCGUUUAGGACGAGCGGUAGUUUCGGAAGCGGACAAGGUGCACACCCUUUCGGUCUUCCCCAGGAAGCUGUUGUGUUCUAGACGAGGAAAAAAGAUGAGUGCAGCAGGCGGAACUUCAUUUCGGCUUCGCCAUUGUUCCCCUGGAAGCAAGCUUUAUGGCGAAGGAAGGGGUGAAGGAGGGGACGGGCAGGAGCUCGUUUUCGGCUUUGAAGAUCUCUGUCAAGGUCCUUGUGGGGAGUGAUGGGUCCUUGUGGGGAGUGAUGAUGUGCAUCAGGAGGAUUUGGAUCUAGCUCGCUGCAUGAAGGAUUUAGAUUUAUCAAGGGCGAAAAAGGGCAAAUCCGGAUCUAUAUCUAGGGAUUCAUCGGCGCACACUAAGAGCAAACCUUUUGUGCUUGAUGGCACUGAGGUGUCCUCCCAUUUGCAUCCAGAAGUGAGGCAUGAGCUCGCCAUUGCUUUUUUUUUUUAACUUAUGGUUGAACACUUUUGUUCAUAUACAUUUAGCAUAUGUCAGUUGGUAGCAGGUAUUUUAUAAUUCCUUCUUGUCAUAGUGCUUUUUAUGAUUUAUUUGUUAUGGCAACACGGCGGUUUGUUCUAGAACUCUUUUAAGUUUGCCUGGAGUUACCAAAAGUUAAUUCACACUCAAACUAUUUUUUCAGUGGUGGGACAGCGGUGGAACUCUUUUAGAAUGGAAAUUUCGGUGAAGGUAGCAGCCAACCAAUUCCAGAUCAAGCGUCUGUUAAUGCUGAGCUUGGAAUACAGGCGACACAAGAGCACACAAGCGAAGGUGAUUCCUUUACUGCAAACAACACUGCUGCAACACGGGACCAACAAAAUAUUGAAAUUAGUUCAGGCACCUCUUUGGUGAGUCAAGCAAUCCAGCAAGAAAACACAGACUCUGGUGUGUAUUUUUCUUAUCUUCAUUCAUAGCCUUUUGUUGAGUCCCUAGCGACUCAUUAGUGCCAUUGAAGAGAAUAGUUACUAGUCACUCCAAGUUUCCACUUUCACAUUUUGAGCUAGUUUUCGGUCACCAAUAUCUGGCACGUGCGUACAAGAUUACAGUGUACCGAUGGUUGAUACAACCAAAUAUGCCUGACAAGAUACUGGAGCAGUAUUCGCCUCAUCACUCCCUUUUACUAAUUUAUUAAUUGAACUUGUUUUAUGCAACUAGCUCUUAUUUUUUUAUGUCUUUGAAAUGGGCAUGCUGCACAAUCAACCUUGGACUUCAUCGAUCCGUGGGUAUGUGUUGAAGUCAUGCAUUGUUCUAUCUGGAAGUUUCUCAGUUGAUGUUUCUGAUACUAUCACGAGGCUUUGGAUGUAUCUGGACAGACGAAUAUAUAUGACUAAGUCAAGUAUGGUGAAAUACACAAGCCAUGGCGCCAUUCCCUUCCUGCCGGUUUUGCGCAAUCGGUGUUAGCUCAAGAAGAUUACCUACGGUCUGAGAAGAUAAGGGCUAGCUUCAUUGGUGACCAUUUACACUAUCGUCUGGUGUUGCCUGUCGAGUACCUUGGCAAGUGGAGUUGUUACUUUUGGAUAUGAAGUUCAGGAGGAUAACUGUCAUGGACCCAAAUCUUAUGAAGACAAACCCAAUAAAUUUUGAUUUGCAUCAUGAGCAGCCUGUAAUGGAUCUUCACAGGGCUGUCAUUGCUUGUAUUAAUCAAUUUUUUGAUGGGUGGUCUGUUGAUCCAGAUGACUGGACCUUCUAAUACCCAACAGACCAGGGUCCAAGAUGCAAAUCGAUAGUGCUUUCCGACAUCUCACGCUUUUCUUACUUAAUUUAUUAUGUUCUUACUAGUGCUACAGUGUUGUAUAUUUGCUUUGUGGAGUGUUGACAGCGGACUUUAUGCUGUACACUAUGCAAGGGCAUUUGAUGGUGAAAUUCUUUGUUUCCAGCUGAAGCAACCAUGUGAGAGCAAUCUCUCGGAAGCCCGUGCAAAGAAUCCGUAUUGGCUGUUUACAAUGUUUACAAUGGCUGGUAAUGUAGGGUACCUCCCAGAAGAUCUGUUUGAGGUGCUUGGAAUCUACGCCCGUCUGCCCAUCCACACCAAGUUUAGUCUAAUGCUAUUAAGUUUAGUUAUGUGUCGUUUAGUUUGUGUUGGGAGGUUAAUCUCACUGGACUUAGAGCUUGGUAUUUUGUUGUUGCUCAUUUUUAUAAUCUGCAUAUGGGUAUAUGCAAUGUUUCCACUGCACACAAACUUACCUUUAGUUUGGUUGUGUGCCCUAUUAAGACAGUGUCUUCUAUUGAUUGUGGGCUGUAAACCUUAUGUGUGUUCUAAACAAUUUAAUUUGAUGUCA